UGGUCCAGCUGUAACUUACAGGCUGUUUGAUUCAUCCCAGGCUGGGAAAGUUUUAGGCUGAAUUCUACUGUAAUAAUGUGAAUGGACAUGCGGUGUAAUGGAAGUGCGUGCGGUGCAGGAGGGACCGAGGAGUAGGAUGAAACGCGGCAAUAUGUCGCAGUGGACCCCCGCAUACGAUAUCUUCAGCGCAAUUGCAACAUCUUUUUGUGAUGACGGUGACAUUUGUUCUUGAAGAAUCUGCCUUGGGACUCGAGACCUUCUGCAUCACUCUGUGUCCAGACGCAGGUGAGCCACUGACUAACGCACGUUGCGCUAAUGCAUAAAUGCCACUGUGCGUGUGACAGCGGCUAACCAGCCUCUUGGAAUGACCCUACCGCUCCUUGUCAUUACUGCGCAGUUCACACGUCCUGCAUUUCUGCUUUAUAUAUAUAACUCGGCAUGCUCGGCUGUUUUUUUUACCUUGGCCACCCUUUUUUUUUUUCGUUUAUGUUCAGUAUACGGAACCAUUCAU